AGGUGUCAAGAUGGCGCGGCCUACGAUGUAAAACUCGUUUGUCUGGUAGGCUCAAAUUUGGGGAGAUGGUGGAUGAAAGAAAAGAAGGAAUUACGGCUUCAGGGCUGAGGAAGAACUCCGGUUCUCCUCUGGCCCCGUUUUUAAACUCCCACCUUGUCACUCGUCUCGCCUCCUUGGAGUGACAUCAUGAAGGUGGUGAAUCUGAAGCAGGCCAUUUUGCAAGCCUGGAAAGAGCGAUGGAGUGACUACCAAUGGGCAAUCAACAUGAAAAAAUUCUUUCCCAAAGGAGCCACCUGGGACAUUCUCAACCUAGCAGAAGCGCUCCUGGAGCAGGCCAUGAUUGGACCUUCGCCCAAUCCUCUUAUCCUGUCUUACCUGAAAUACGCCAUUAGUUCCCAGAUGGUGUCCUGUUCCUCUGUGCUCACUGCGAUCAGUAAGUUUGAUGACUUUUCCCGGGACCUGUGUGUCCAGGCUCUGCUGGAUAUCAUGGACAUGUUUUGUGACCGACUCAGUUGCCACGGCAAAGCAGAGGAAUGCAUCGGGCUGUGCCGAGCGCUCCUUAGCGCCCUCCACUGGCUGCUGCGAUGUACAGCAGCUUCUGCCGAGCGACUCCAGGAAGGACUGGAGGUUGGCACAGCCCCUGGGGAGAAGCAGCUUGCCUUGUGCCUACAGUGCCUGGAGAAGACCCUCAGCAGCACCAAGAACCGAGCCCUGCUGCACAUCGCCAAGCUAGAGGAGGCCUCCUCCUGGACUGCCAUUGAGCAUUCUCUUUUAAAACUUGGGGAGAUCCUGGCCAAUCUCAGCAACCCCCAGCUCCGGAGCCAGGCUGAGCGUUGCGGCACACUCAUCAGGAGCAUCCCUACCAUGCUGUCUGUGCACUCAGAGCAGCUGCACAAGACUGGCUUCCCCACCAUCCACGCACUCAUCUUGCUUGAGGGAACCAUGAACCUGACAGGGGAGAUGCAGCCCCUGGUAGAACAGCUGAUGAUGGUGAAGCGCAUGCAGCAUAUCCCCACACCUCUCUUUGUCCUGGAAAUCUGGAAAGCUUGCUUUGUGGGACUCAUUGAAUCCCCUGAGGGUACGCAGGAGCUGAAGUGGACAGCUUUCACCUAUCUCAAGAUUCCACAGGUUUUGGUGAAGUUGAAGAAGUAUUUUCAUGGGGACAAGGACUUCACUGAGGAUGUCAACUGCGCUUUUGAGUUCCUGCUGAAGCUCACACCCUUGUUGGACAAAGCUGACCAGCGCUGCAAUUGCGACUGCACGAACUUCCUCCUCCAGGAGUGCAACAAGCAGGGGCUUCUGUCUGAGGUCAACUUUGCCAGCCUUGUGGGCAAGCGUACUGCAGAUCGGGACCCACAGCUAAAAUCAUCAGAAAAUGCCAAUAUCCAGCCUAAUCCUGGACUGAUCCUGCGGGCAGAGCCCACUGUCACAAACAUUCUCAAGACAAUGGAUGCAGAUCACUCCAAGUCCCCAGAGGGGCUGCUUGGGGUCCUGGGACACAUGCUUUCUGGGAAGAGCCUGGACUUGCUGCUGGCUGCCGCUGCUGCCACUGGGAAGCUUAAAUCCUUUGCCCGGAAAUUCAUCAAUCUGAAUGAGUUCACUACCCACGGCAGCGGAGAGAGCACGAAAACAGCCUCGGUUCGUGCCUUGCUCUUUGACAUUUCCUUCCUCAUGCUAUGCCACGUGGCCCAGACCUACGGCUCAGAGGUGAUUCUCUCCGAAUCAAGCUCAGGAGAAGAAGUCCCCUUCUUUGAGACCUGGAUGCAGACCUGCAUGCCUGAGGAGGGCAAGAUUUUGAACCCUGACCACCCCUGCUUCCGGCCUGACUCCACCAAAGUCGAGUCCUUGGUGGCCUUACUCAACAACUCUUCAGAGAUGAAGCUAGUACAGAUGAAGUGGCACGAAGCCUGCCUGAGUAUUUCAGCAGCCAUUUUGGAAAUUCUCAACGCUUGGGAGAAUGGGGUUCUGGCCUUCGAGUCCAUCCAGAAAAUCACCGAUAAUAUCAAGGGAAAGGUAUGCAGCCUGGCGGUGUGUGCUGUGGCUUGGCUUGUGGCCCACGUCCGGAUGCUGGGGCUGGACGAGCGUGAGAAGUCACUGCAGAUGAUCCGCCAGUUGGCAGGGCCGCUGUACAGUGAGAACACCCUGCAGUUCUACAAUGAGAGGGUGGUGAUUAUGAACUCAAUCUUGGAGCACAUGUGUGCGGACGUGCUGCAGCAGACAGCCACACAGAUCAAGUUUCCAUCCACGGGUGUGGACACGAUGCCCUACUGGAACCUGCUUCCUCCCAAGCGCCCCAUCAAGGAGGUACUGACGGACAUCUUUGCCAAGGUACUGGAGAAGGGCUGGGUAGACAGCCGCUCCAUCCACAUCCUCGACACCCUGCUGCACAUGGGCGGCGUCUACUGGUUCUGCAACAACCUGAUUAAGGAGCUGCUGAAGGAGACUCGCAAGGAGCACACGCUAAGGGCAGUGCAGCUGCUCUACUCCAUCUUCUGUCUGGACAUGCAGCAAAUGACCCUGGUUCUGCUGGGCCACAUCUUGCCUGGGCUGCUUACUGACUCCUCCAAGUGGCACAGCCUUAUGGACCCUCCUGGCACUGCACUAGCCAAACUAGCUGUGUGGUGUGCCCUGAGUUCUUACUCUUCCCACAAAGGACAGGCAUCCUCCCGCCAGAAGAAGAGACACAGAGAAGACAUUGAGGACUAUAUCAGCCUCUUCCCUGUGGAGGACAUGCAGCCUUCAAAGCUUAUGCGACUCCUGAGCUCCAAUGAGGAUGACGCCAACAUCCUGUCAAGUCCCAAGAUUUCUCUUGAACCUAGAACUUUCUCUGAAGCUUUGUAGGGACCAGGAUACAAGCCACAUGCUUUUGCAAAGGAAAGAUAUUGGGUUGCCCAUCUAUGACCUAUGACCUAUGACCUUAGGUAGACCCUUAGCAAGUAGACUGUGUUUGUAAGAUGGACUCUGAGUGGGCCGGGGCAGCCUCAGUCACACAGAGUGCCAGGAUUGGUCUCUGAUGGUGCUCAGCAGGCCUGGCUCCACAGACUCCGGCUCCUCUCUUCCCUCGUGCAGCAGACCCCCUGAUGGAGGGGACAGGUAAGGCUCACUGGAGUCAGAGCUGACGCAGUACCCUCCCUCCCACUCCACAGCUGACCGCUCCAUGAACAGCUCCCUCUCAGCUUCCCAGCUCCACACAGUCAACAUGAGGGACCCUCUGAACCGAGUCCUGGCCAACCUGUUCCUGCUCAUUUCUUCCAUCCUGGGUUCACGCACCGCUGGCCCCCACACCCAGUUUGUGCAGUGGUUCAUGGAGGAAUGUGUGGACUGCCUGGAGCAGGACAGCAGAGGCAGCAUUCUGCAGUUCAUGCCUUUCACUACCGUAUCAGAACUGGUGAAGGUGUCUGGUAUGUCCAGCCCCAAGGUGAUUCUGGCCAUCACAGACCUCAGCCUGCCCCUGGGUCGGCAGGUAGCUGCCAAAGCCAUCGCUGCACUCUGAGGAGCUCCGAGUGGCCUGCAGUGGGUUCCAGCCCCGCAUCCAAGCAGGGAGCUGGGAGAGUGAGCCUUCCCCACGCCUGCUCUGACUUCCCAUGGCCCUGCACAUCUCCUAGUUGCUUUUGUAAUUUCUGUCCUUGUCCCUUUGGUUGCCCCAAUUCUAGCAGUGCUGUACUUCAAGGAGGGACUGUACAGGGCCACAGUGUGUAUAUAAGUUUAUUUUUAUAACCCAUGAAUGGGGAACCCUUGGUCCCUCUGUAAAUAAAGAUCCCUGUGGC